ACAGCCCAUUCUGACUCACUGGGAGGGCCACACCGAACCCCUCGCAGGCUUAGCCUGAAGGCAGACGCGGGGCGCAGGUGCUCCCGGGACCGGACCGAACCUGGGCUGGGGCUGGAUUGAUUUAUAAAUAAAGGCACAUUCGAUCCAAGAGUGCGUGUGUGCGUGCGUGUGGUUCUUGUGGGGUAGGGGAGAGCACGGAAUGGCAGGAAUGUUUCCUAACCCCUUGGCCGGGCCAUCGCGGGAGAGAUCUGCCGGCAAACUCUGGGAGCGCAA
rnacentral:lncRNA from 1 species